rnacentral:lncRNA from 1 species
UACCACUUGCAUCAAAAAAGCUUUUAUUGUCAGUCUAACUUUCCUUCUGGACACAUCUUUUUUUUUUUUUUUUUCCUUUCUUUAUAAUCUCAGAAAAAAUCCCCACUGAAAAGGGAACAGUAUAAAACCUUCUGAAAAAUUAGUAAAAUACUCUAAGAUGAUCCACCUGCUUUAAAGCUGCAGAUAUACUAAUGUUUGUAUAAUCAGCUUUCUGAUGGAAAACUUCAAAGCUUCUGAGCUACCUGCAAAACAGCACUGCCUGUAGUGAUGGGUUGAGGAGAAGGGAAGAGGAUUGACAGAAGAAAAGACAGAUGGCAGCACCUGCUGCACAUCAGUAUAAUGUCUGCAUUGUCUUGGUGGGUGGAAAAAUGAAAGGAAACAUUUCCCAAUGGAGAGAAGAGGUACCAACUCCCCAGGGUUCCCUGGAAGAAGGAUGCUGUCCUUUACAUUUGGGUGGGGUUUCUGCCUUAGGCAUUCAUUUUCCUUUUGAAAGUGAGGGGAGCUGGUGGCAAGGUAAGCUUUAUUUCAAAGAUUUACCACUAAAAACACAAUAAUCAAAUAAGAACUGAGCUUUGAACAACAUGUGCUCAAAAGCAUCUUUUUUAUAUUGCAUGUUUUUUUGCAGCUGAUGCUUACACAAAGAAACAUACAGGGAGUAAUAGGAAAACCUUUUGGAAACUUGUGUACUGGGGUGUGUAUUCCUAUGGUAGACUUCAUAGCAUGCCACACAUUAAAAUAGCCAAAAUGAUUUAAAAAUUAAAAAUAUUCUCCACCUUUUUUUUUUUUUUUUUUUAAAUUUAUACUUAUCUUAAACCUAGAUGGCUUUUGCUUCCUCUCCAGGUGAAACAGGGCCUACAUUUUGGGUAAGCCAGAGAUUUCAGAGCCAGUUCCUCAGAUGGCCUAGUUAAAGCCUAUUUACAUGAAGUCAAUGGUGCUAAGCCAAUCUGCACCAGCUGUGAAGCCAGGCAUCCAUGUAUUUGUAUUCACAGGAAUAAAUGCCUGAUGCA